GGCUUGGUGGCGUAAUGGUAACGCGCCCCAUGUACCUAACGUUUUCAUAUCGGUUGAUGGAAGGUUCGGAGUUCGAUUCUCCGGCAAGCCA